GCCGAGGUGGUGGAACGGGAGACACGCCAGAUUUAGGCUCUGGUGCCCUUAGCGGUGUGAGGGUUCAAGUCCCUCUCUCGGUACCA
rnacentral:tRNA from 1 species